rnacentral:rRNA from 34 species
CCGGCAACGGAUAUCUCGGCUCUCGCAUCGAUGAAGAACGUAGCGAAAUGCGAUACGUGGUGUGAAUUGCAGAAUCCCGUGAACCAUCGAGUCUUUGAACGCAAGUUGCGCCCGAGGGACCAUCCCGAGGGCACGC